GUACCCAGGCCCCUGGGACUACAGUCAGGGGCAUGAAUGGUUUUCCUGACCCACCUGGUGUGACCUCCAGCGCAGCCUCCUGUCACCCCGAUCCAGAGAGGAUGGAGAAGGCGCAUCUGCCCACCUGGCCUGUGAAUGGGGAGGGCAUUAGUGCUUUCAAACACCUGUGGUUCUGCACCAUUCCCAGCCUGCCCAGGCCUUUCAGCCAGCCCCAGCCCCUUGCUGCUCCUCUCUGGUCCCAGGUACCUGCUCUAGGGUGGACAGCACCGAGAGCCCUGGCCCAGUUCUCCACCAGCAGCCCUCAGUGCUUCAAAGAAGGCAGCGGUCCUUGGAGGGGUCUCUCCAGCUGUGCUCGGGGACACAAGGGCCUUCUCACCCCACGGGCUGUGGAGUGGGCUGAAGAUCGAACAGCAAGCAAGCAGACUCGGGGCGACUCAGGGAAGGGCAGCGUGAGGCUGGGACCGGAGAGGCAGAUCCUGCUCCUCCCCAGGGCCGGGGGUAUGAAGUGGUCCACUAGGACAGAGAAGACAGUUUUUGGGGUGGGAAGAGGGUGUGGUGGCCUGGAGUGGGACAGUUUCCACUGGCUGCCUCCAAGCUCUGUAUCUUUGCUCCUACCCCAACUUUGUGUCACGAAGCUUGGAACAGAGUCUUGAAUAUUUUGAGGAAAGAGGAGGGUGCUAAGAAAGACCACCUUUGGCAACCUGGCAGGAAGCUCCUGUCGCCUCACUCUUCCUUCCUUCCCCCAAGC
rnacentral:lncRNA from 1 species